GAAAAUGAAAAUAUAUUUUCUAAAACGUUCAUAGUGGAUGGAAAUGUGUUACCUUGUAACUACGAUUACGUAUUUUUAAUAAACGAAGUUGGAUUACUCUUUUUUAAUAGUAUUUACCACAGUAAUGGCAGAUUGAGAAUAGGCGUGCAAUUUUUACAAACUGUACAAAUACCAAAAACUUACAAUUAUGUCAUACAGAUAAGUAACGAUACGUUAACCUUCAUACGUCAUUGAAAGGUCACGCCUAUAACACAUAAAACACGAGCUGUUGUUUACACCAAUAUUAUACAUGAGAAGGACAUGGCACGCUUAUUAAGGGUUAAAAAGCACCUUAAGUGCACACUAUUUGUAACAAAGUGUUCAUAAAAUAUUUAGCCACAGUAACAAUUGUUAAUUGAAAAAAAUAUUUUAUUGAUUAUAGAAUCUGUUUGACUAUGCUAUAGUUUAACUUUGUAUUUUGUGAUUUUUCCAUAUUAUCUUAAUAAAAAAAUUAAA